GGAACAUAGCUUUGGCAUGCCCUCGAGGAAACUCAUUUAGAAUUCGAGUCAACUCCUAUAGAAAAAAUAGAGAGCUAAAUUUCUAGCUACAGUACUCAAGUCGACUCGACUGCUUUUGAUAGUAAUAACAAACUACAUAGAAAAAACUGCAGAAACAUCCAAAAAUUAUUUCAACAACUAGAUUCCAUCCCUAGCAUCUCAAAUGGCUAGUUUUCAAUUCAAAAAACUUUAGAAUGCCUGG
rnacentral:lncRNA from 1 species